GUGGUGGAGUUAAAUUUCAAACCCAGAUCCUGACUCAAUAGCCACUAUAUUAUGGGGGUUCUCACACACACACACACACACACACACUCACACCCACAGAGUGCAGUUAAAAUCUUUACAAGGGCAAUUACAAACAAUAAAAAUGCCAACAAUAUAAUAUUAUCUGAAAAAGUGACCCACGAAAUGUGUGUGCACUGUGAUUUGUGAUUGUUCCAUACAUAAUAUGCAUCUGCAAAAGGACUAUAAUCAUCCGCAUGAUGGCAACCUUUUAUUUAUUUGUCAAAUUGCAAAAGUAGGCACCAGCCAUGAGCUGAGACUUGAGCUCAUUUAUACACAGUUCAGAUGGCCAGGCUGGAUUAACUUUCCUCCUUCCUACACCACCACCCUGGGCUUAUGAUGCCACAGCAUCAUUGUCAGUGUCACUGUUAGCCUCCCCAAACAGUAGCACAAAUUUUUGAGGGAAUCGAGGAUCAGAGAGGUGAAGUGUCUUGGACAAGGCGGGACAGUGAGGAAGCAGCCAAGCAUGGAUUUAACCCAAAGAUUUUCCAGGUUUGGCCCAGUUUUUCUACUUCCUACUGUGUUGCUGUUUCAUUUAAUCUUAUUUCUUCCUCCUCUAUCUAAGAACAGGAAGCUAUUCUCUCAUGUUCUUCUCUGAGUUUUUCUCUCUCCCCCUACUCCUCCUCCCUCUGCACCUCUCCUUUCUCUCUCCUAACCUGGCUCCACUGCUUCAUUGCCCUGCACAUGCCCACAAUGGCCACUCUGGCUCACAAUCCACAUAAUUUAGUAUGCACCUGAACUUCACUCUGCUUACAUUCCACUCAUGUAUUCAAGUCAACCCCUGCAUCACAUGGGUGUUAGUCAAUAGAGUCCAGUAACACUUGGGCCUAUUUUCCAUCCUAAUCAAUACUAAAAUAUAUCUAUUACACUGUUUCUUGUUAUUACCACAGAAAAUUCUAUUUAUCUAUGAUAUAAAUUUCCACAGAUUUUUAACAAUAGCUUUGUUGGAAUCCACUCAUAAAAAAUUAAAGGGAGGUGGCCAGGCAUAGGGACUCAUCCCUGUAAUCCUAGCACUUUGGGAGGCCAAGGUGGGUGGAUCACCUGAAGUCAAGAGUUCAAGACCAGCCUGGCCAACAUGGUAAAACACUACUCAGGAGGCUGAGGCAGGAGAAUCGCUUGAACCCAGGAGGUGGAGCAGUGAGCCAAGAUCGCGCCACUGCACUCCAGCCUGGGUAACACAGCAAGACUCCAUCUAAAAAAAAAAAAAAGAAAGAAAAAAGAAAAA
rnacentral:lncRNA from 1 species